rnacentral:rRNA from 1 species
GUCAUGGCUCAGAACGAACGCUGGCGGCAUGCCUAACACAUGCAAGUCGAACGAGACCUUCGGGUCUAGUGGCGCACGGGUGCGUAACACGUGGGAAUCUGCCCUUUGCUUCGGAAUAACAGUUAGAAAUGACUGCUAAUACCGGAUGAUGUCGAAAGACCAAAGAUUUAUCGGCAAAGGAUGAGCCCGCGUAGGAUUAGGUAGUUGGUGGGGUAAAGGCCUACCAAGCCGACGAUCCUUAGCUGGUCUGAGAGGAUGAUCAGCCACACUGGGACUGAGACACGGCCCAGACUCCUACGGGAGGCAGCAGUGGGGAAUAUUGGACAAUGGGCGAAAGCCUGAUCCAGCAAUGCCGCGUGAGUGAUGAAGGCCUUAGGGUUGUAAAGCUCUUUUACCAGGGAUGAUAAUGACAGUACCUGGAGAAUAAGCUCCGGCUAACUCCGUGCCAGCAGCCGCGGUAAUACGGAGGGAGCUAGCGUUGUUCGGAAUUACUGGGCGUAAAGCGCACGUAGGCGGCUACUCAAGUCAGAGGUGAAAGCCCAGGGCUCAACCCUGGAACUGCCUUUGAAACUAGGUAGCUAGAAUCUUGGAGAGGUCAGUGGAAUUCCGAGUGUAGAGGUGAAAUUCGUAGAUAUUCGGAAGAACACCAG